rnacentral:rRNA from 1 species
AGAGUUUGAUCCUGGCUCAGGAUGAACGCUAGCGGCAGGCUUAACACAUGCAAGUCGAGGGGUAGAGGUUGCUUGCAACCUUGAGACCGGCGCACGGGUGCGUAACGCGUAUGCAACCUACCUUUUACAGAGGGAUAGCCCAGAGAAAUUUGGAUUAAUACCUCAUAGUAUAUAUCUUUCGCAUGUUAGGUAUAUUAAAGUUCCAACGGUAAAAGAUGGGCGUGCGUCCUAUUAGCUAGAUGGUAAGGUAACGGCUUACCAUGGCUACGAUAGGUAGGGGUCCUGAGAGGGAGAUCCCCCACACUGGUACUGAGACACGGACCAGACUCCUACGGGAGGCAGCAGUGAGGAAUAUUGGACAAUGGGCGCAAGCCUGAUCCAGCCAUGCCGCGUGCAGGAAGAAGCAUCUAUGGUGUGUAAACUGCUUUUGUACAGGAAGAAACAUCCCGACGUGUCGGGACUUGACGGUACUGUAAGAAUAAGGAUCGGCUAACUCCGUGCCAGCAGCCGCGGUAAUACGGAGGAUCCAAGCGUUAUCCGGAAUCAUUGGGUUUAAAGGGUCCGUAGGCGGUUUGGUAAGUCAGUGGUGAAAGCCCGCAGCUCAACUGUGGAACGGCCAUUGAUACUGCCAGACUUGAAUUACAAGGAAGUAACUAGAAUAUGUAGUGUAGCGGUGAAAUGCUUAGAUAUUACAUGGAAUACCAAUUGCGAAGGCAGGUUACUACUUGUGGAUUGACGCUGAUGGACGAAAGCGUGGGGAGCGAACAGGAUUAGAUACCCUGGUAGUCCAA